AGUGAACGCUGGCGGUAGGCCUAACACAUGCAAGUCGAACGGCAGCACAGUAAGAGCUUGCUCUUACGGGUGGCGAGUGGCGGACGGGUGAGGAAUACAUCGGAAUCUACUUUUUCGUGGGGGAUAACGUAGGGAAACUUACGCUAAUACCGCAUACGACCUACGGGUGAAAGCAGGGGAUCUUCGGACCUUGCGCGAUUGAAUGAGCCGAUGUCGGAUUAGCUAGUUGGCGGGGUAAAGGCCCACCAAGGCGACGAUCCGUAGCUGGUCUGAGAGGAUGAUCAGCCACACUGGAACGGAGACACGGUCCAGACUCCUACGGGAGGCAGCAGUGGGGAAUAGUGGACAAGGGGCGCAAGCCUGAUCCAGCCAUACCGCGUGGGUGAAGAAGGCCUUCGGGUUGUAAAGCCCUUUUGUUGGGAAAGAAAAGCAGCAGGUUAAUACCCCGCUGUUCUGACGGUACCCAAAGAAUAAGCACCGGCUAACUUCGUG
rnacentral:rRNA from 1 species